UACGGAAGGCAGCAGUGGGGAAUUUUGGACAAUGGGCGAAAGCCUGAUCCAGCAAUGCCGCGUGCAGGAUGAAGGCCCUCGGGUUGUAAACUGCUUUUGUACGGAACGAAAAGCCUGGGGCUAAUACCCCGGGUCAUGACGGUACCGUAAGAAUAAGCACCGGCUAACUACGUGCCAGCAGCCGCGGUAAUACGUAGGGUGCAAGCGUUAAUCGGAAUUACUGGGCGUAAAGCGUGCGCAGGCGGUUUUUGUAAGACAGUGGUGAAAUCCCCGGGCUCAACCUGGGAACUGCCAUUGUGACUGCAAAGCUAGAGUGCGGCAGAGGGGGAUGGAAUUCCGCGUGUAGCAGUGAAAUGCGUAGAUAUGCGGAGGAACACCGAUGGCGAAGGCAAUCCCCUGGGGCCUGCACUGACGCUCAUGCACGAAAGCGUGGGGAGCAAACAGGAUUAGGAUAACC
rnacentral:rRNA from 1 species